rnacentral:rRNA from 1 species
UACGUAGGGUGCAAGCGUUAAUCGGAAUUACUGGGCGUAAAGCGUGCGCAGGCGGUUUUGUAAGACUGUCGUGAAAUCCCCGGGCUUAACCUGGGAAUGGCAUUUGGGACUGCAAGGCUGGAGUACGGCAGAGGAGGCUGGAAUUCCUGGUGUAGCAGUGAAAUGCGUAGAUAUCAGGAGGAAUACCGAUGGCGAAGGCAGGUCUCUGGGCUGAUACUGACGCUCAUGCACGAAAGCGUGGGGAGCAAACAGG